rnacentral:rRNA from 1 species
GAUGAACGCUGGCGGCGUGCCUAAUACAUGCAAGUCGAGCGAACAGACGAGGAGCUUGCUCCUCUGACGUUAGCGGCGCACGGGUGUGUAACACGUGGAUAAUCUACCUAUAAGACUGGGAUAAUUUCGGGAAACCGGAGCUAAUACCGGAUAAUAUAUUGCACCGCAUGGUUCAAUAGUGAAAGACGGUUUUGCUGUCACUUCUAGAUGGAUCCGCGCCGCAUUAGCUAGUUGGUAAGGUAACGGCUUUUCAAGGCGACGAUGCGUAGCCGACCUGAGAGGGUGAUCGGCCACACUGGAGCUGAGACACGGUCCAGGCUCCUACGGGAGGCAGCAGUAGGGAAUCGUCCGCAAUGGGCGAAAGCCUGACGGAGCAACGCCGCGUGUGUGAUGAAGGUCUUCGGAGCGUAAAACUCUGUUAUUAGGGAAGAACAAAUGUGUAAGUAACUAUGCACGUCUUGACGGUACCUAAUCAGAAAGCCACGGCUAACUACGUG